AUUGACCGCUGGCGGCAGGCUUAACACAUGCAAGUCGAGCGAGCGGCGGACUGGUGAGUAAUGUCUUGGAAACUGCCUGAUGGAGGGGUAUAACUACUGGAAACGGUAGCUAAUACCGCAUACCAUCAGAUGUGCCCAGAUGGGAUUAGCUAGUAGGUGGGGUAAUGGCUCACCUAGGAGACGAUCCCUAGCUGGUCUGAGAGGAUGACCAGCCACACUGGAACUGAGACACGGUCCAGACUCCUACGGGAGGCAGCAGUGGGGAAUAUUGCACAAUGGACGAAAGCCUGAUGCAGCAAUGCCGCGUGUGUGAAGAAGGCCUUCGGGUUGUAAAGCACUUUCAGCAAGGAGGCGGUACUCGAAGAAGAAGCACCGGCUAACUCCGUGCCAGCAGCCGCGGUAAUUC
rnacentral:rRNA from 1 species